UAUCUUAGGACAAAAACCAAGUGGCGGAGUCGGAAUCAGGGUGUCAUGUAGAUCGGUUGAUGGGAAGGUUAGAAUGAUUGGGUUAGAAGAUGGAGAAGAGGACGUCGAGCGCAGCAGGGCGGUGGGAAUAAAUCACAUCCAUAUUGUUGAAAAUAAGUUGGCCCAUGUGGUGAAGACAGUACUGUUAUAUUACAACGACAGCAAGAACAGAAAGAAUCCUAUCAGCUUUAGACGGUAGGGUAUUGGCCUACCGUGGCUAUGACGGGUAACGGGGAAUUAGGGUUCGAUUCCGGAGAGGGAGCCUGAGAAACGGCUACCACAUCUAAGGAAGGCAGCAGGCGCGCAAAUUACCCAAUCCUAAUACAGGGAGGUAGUGACAAGAAAUAACAAUACAGAACCUUACGGUUUUGUAAUUGGAAUGAGUUAAGUAUAAACCCCUUAACAAGUAUCAAUUGGAGGGCAAGUCUGGUGCCAGCAGCCGCGGUAAUUCCAGCUCCAAUAGCGUAUAUUAAAGUUGUUGCAGUUAAAAAGCUCGUAGUUAAUCUUCUGUUAAUUUUUAUAUAUAAUAUCACGAUAUUUAUAUAAUAUUAACAUAAUUCAUAUUACUUUUUAGUAUAUGAAACUUUACUUUGAGAAAAUUAGAGUGCUUAAAGCAGGCUAUUGCCUUGAAUACUCCAGCAUGGAAUAAUAUUAAGGAUUUUUAUUCUUCUUAUUGGUUCUAGAAUAAAAAUGAUGAGUAAUAGGACAGUUUGGACGAGCCGUAAUUG
rnacentral:rRNA from 1 species